rnacentral:rRNA from 1 species
GAUGAACGCUGGCGGCGUGCCUAAUACAUGCAAGUCGAGCGAACGGACGAGAAGCUUGCUUCUCUGAUGUUAGCGGCGGACGGGUGAGUAACACGUGGAUAACCUACCUAUAAGACUGGGAUAACUUCGGGAAACCGGAGCUAAUACCGGAUAAUAUUUUGAACCGCAUGGUUCAAAAGUGAAAGACGGUCUUGCUGUCACUUAUAGAUGGAUCCGCGCUGCAUUAGCUAGUUGGUAAGGUAACGGCUUACCAAGGCAACGAUGCAUAUCCGACCUGAGAGGGUGAUCGGCCACACUGGAACUGAGACACGGUCCAGACUCCUACGGGAGGCAGCAGUAGGGAAUCUUCCGCAAUGGGCGAAAGCCUGACGGAGCAACGCCGCGUGAGUGAUGAAGGUCUUCGGAUCGUAAAACUCUGUUAUUAGGGAAGAACAUAUGUGUAAGUAACUGUGCACAUCUUGACGGUACCUAAUCAGAAAGCCACGGCUAACUACGUG